UUAAAAUCACAGAUAAAUCAUGUUGCAUAUUAAUUAUUAGAUAUUUAUGAAGAGUUCCACAGUAGAAGAUUCAUUACUUUAAAUAAAAAACAAAGUUUUACUAUUGUGUUUUAUAUGUUAACUCCUCAUUUCCUGCCAUGUGUCAGCUCCUCUCCUCUGUCUGAUCACAGUAUCAUGCACACAGCUGAUCCACAGUAGUGUUAACCUCUGUCAGGUAUCAUAACUGUCUCAUGUCCAGCUGUCUGUCCUACAGUGGAAGUUCAUCUGCUCCUUGUGUGUCUCUGCUCUCCCCUCCAGCUGGCACCAUGGUCAGGCCCUCAGUCUCUCUGCUUCCCCCCUCCUCUGAGCAGCUCUCUGGGGGCUCGGCCACGCUGGCCUGCCUGCUGACCGGCUACUCUCCUCAGGGAGCCGUGGUGAGCUGGCAGGUGGACGGUACGGAGGUGACGGAGGGGGUCCUGAGCAGCUCAGAGGAGGAGAAGAGCGGCCGCUACAGCAGCAGCAGCACCCUGAGCCUGAGCCAGGAGCGCUGGAUGGAAGGAGAGCUGUACUCCUGCAGGGUCCUCCAUCAGGGCCACAGCCAGACCCAGUCCCUCCACAGGAGCCAGUGUAAGGGCUAGAGGGGCCGGCUGAAGCCCAGGACAGGAGCUCUGUGUGGGGGGGAGCAGCUCUGAUCAAUAGCAGUUUGAAUGCUUGUAGAGGAAACUGAAGCUUUGUGUGACAGAGAACAACACUGCUGUAAAGUGUUGGACAACAACAACUUAGAGAGGAAUGUGUGUCGCUCAGCAG